CACCCCAGUCAUGAAUCUCACCGUGGUCGGCGCCCUCCUUGCGGUUAGGCGACCGGCUUCUGGUGAAACCCACUCCCAUGGUGUGACGGGCGGUGUGUACAAGACCCGGGAACGUAUUCACCGCGACAUGCUGAUCCGCGAUUACUAGCGAUUCCGACUUCAUGCAGUCGAGUUGCAGACUGCAAUCCGGACUACGACGCGCUUUAAGGGAUUGGCUCCAGAUCGCUCCUUCGCAACCCUCUGUACGCGCCAUUGUAUUACGUGUGAAGCCCUACCCAUAAGGGCCAUGAGGACUUGACGUCAUCCCCACCUUCCUCCGGUUUGUCACCGGCAGUCUCAUUAGAGUGCCCAACUGAAUGUAGCAACUAAUGACAAGGGUUGCGCUCGUUGCGGGACUUAACCCAACAUCUCACGACACGAGCUGACGACAGCCAUGCAGCACCUGUGUUCCGAUUCCCUUUCGGGCACACCCACAUCUCUGCGGGCUCUCGGACAUGUCAAGGGUAGGUAAGGUUUUUCGCGUUGCAUCGAAUUAAUCCACAUAAUCCACCGCUUGUGCGGGUCCCCGUCAAUUCCUUUGAGUUUUA
rnacentral:rRNA from 1 species